GGGCGAGUUGCCGUACUGGUGCUCACACAGGCGUCUGCCGGAGAAGAGGAACGCAUGACAAACUGUUCCACACAGGUCGUGUUCACUCAAUCCCUUUUUCUCUGGAUCACAUCGAUUUUACAGGUUUUCUGUUCUGAGAGUCCUGGAGGUGGCGGUACUCACCUGGAUGUGUCUGCGACACUCCCUGAAGCCCUGGGCGAGCAUGGUGACCACGUCUUUGUGGUCGUCCAGCAGCUGCUGCACCAGCUUACAGAAACGAGCCUCCACGUCCUGAUCUUUGAUCUGUCAACAAACGAGCACACUUCAUAUCAAACCGUCACAGGCUUAAGGUAGGACACUCACCGGGGGAAAGUCUAUCAGCAUGUGGUAGGCUCUGAUAUACAGUUCAUGCUGUAAGAAAGGAGAGGACAGAUGGAGGCUGUAGUUAGACCGAUUCUCUGUGAUCGUCCAUCCAACCAGAAAUCAUCACACCACCAGCACCGGCCCCUGACUGGGCCCCCACAGCACAACUGAUAAGUCCACAUGUGGCUUACAUUUACAAAACAUUUCAUGAUGCUUCGAUGUGAUGAAUUUCUCUGUGUUCACAACAAAGCCGAACAACUCCUCCCCAGAAACUAAGCUUUGCUCCUCGGUUACAUCUGAGUUGAAACCGACUUGACGAUUUCAAGCUUGAAUUCAUGGUCUGAACUUGUAUCAGUUGAAACUCAAAACCUGCUCCAACCAUUGUUUCCUUUACGAUAAAAGAGCUGAGUGAGAGUGAGUUAAACCACCCUGACCUACAUUACAACCAGUGGCAUUCAAACGGAGCUAUGCUUUAUGCAAUCAGAACAGAGGAGCUCCGUGAUGCCAGAAAGGAAGGAAUCUAGGUGAAAGUUCAUCAGCAACAAGACAUGCAGAGGCGGUGAAUUGGUUUUGAAGAGCCUGCUUGGACAAACAGAGAGUGAGAGAGAGAGAGAGAGAGCACAGUGUUCCCACAUGAAAACGAAUGAGAAACUGAAAAUAAAAACAUUGCAUGUUCAUCCUGAUCUGGUUUCAUUUAGCUGCUUGUGUCUGCAUGAAAUAAAAUCUAAUGACUAUGU